rnacentral:tRNA from 1 species
CGCGGGGUAGCGUAGUGGUCACGCGACAGGUUCAUACCCUGUAUUACGCCGGUUCGAACCCGGCCCCCGCAUCCA